rnacentral:rRNA from 1 species
GAUGAACGCUGGCGGCGUGCCUAAUACAUGCAAGUCGAGCGAACAGACGAGGAGCUUGCUCCUCUGACGUUAGCGGCUGACGGGUGAGUAACACGUGGAUAACCUACCUAUAAGACUGGGAUAACUUCGGGAAACCGGAGCUAAUACCGGAUAAUAUAUUGAACCGCAUGGUUCAAUAGUGAAAGACGGUUUUGCUGUCACUUAUAGAUGGAUCCGCGCCGCAUUAGCUAGUUGGUAAGGUAACGGCUUACCAAGGCGACGAUGCGUAGCCGACCUGAGAGGGUGAUCGGCCACACUGGAACUGAGACACGGUCCAGACUCCUACGGGAGGCAGCAGUAGGGAAUCUUCCGCAAUGGGCGAAAGCAUGACGGAGCAACGCCGCGUGAGUGAUGAAGGUCUUCGGAUCGUAAAACUCUGUUAUUAGGGAAGAACAAAUGUGUAAGUAACUAUGCACGUAUUGACGGUACCUAAUCAGAAAGCCACGGCUAACUACGUG